AACACACACAAAAUAAACUAGAGAAUACUUAUGAUUUGGUUUACAAGUAUAAACUAUUGUAAACCGGCCGUUGAGAAAGAUCAUGACUAUAUUUUUACGACCAUCACGACCAAAUGGAAACCAGGCUUAAACCGGCCUAUAGAAAUAUAUUGUCUUUAACGUAUUUUAGAGGCAGGUUUAAAUGGUAUAACCAGUUGACAUGCCUAAGUAUG